UUCGGAUUGUAGUCUGNAACCCGACUACAUGAAGCUGGAAUCGCUAGUAAUCGCAGAUCAGAAUGCUGCGGUGAAUACGUUCCCGGGUCUUGUACACACCGCCCGUCACACCAUGGGAGUUGGAAAUGCCCGAAGCCAGUGACCCAACCGUAAGGAGGGAGCUGUCGAAGGUGGAGCCGAUGACUGGGGUGAAGUCGUAACAAGGUAGC
rnacentral:rRNA from 1 species